GAAUAACGUCGACAGAAUGCUUAACACAUGCAAGUCAACGUGUACUUAGGUAUGGGUGGCGGACGGGUGAGUAACGCGUAAAGAACUUGCCUCACAGUUAGUGACAACAUUUGGAAACGAAUGACAAUACUUGAUAUUAUGAUUUUAGGGCAUCCUAGAAUUAUGAUAGCUAUAUGCGCUGUGAGAGAGCUCUGCGUCCCAUAAGCUAGUCGGAGAGGUAACGGCUCACCAAGGCGACGAUCAGUAGCUGGUCUGAGAGGAUGAUCAGCCACAUUGGGAAUGAGACACGGCCCAAACUCUUACGGGAGGCAGCAGUGGGGAAUCUUGCGCAAUGGGCGAAAGCCUGACGCAGCCAUGCCGCGUGAAUGAUGAAGGUCUUAGGAUUGUAAAAUUCUUUCACCGGGGACGAUAAUGACGGUACCCGGAGAAGAAGCCCCGGCUAACUUCGUGCCAGCAGCCGCGGUAAUACGAAGGGGGCCAGCGUUGCUUGGAAUUACUGGGCGUAAAGGGAGCGUAGGCGGACAUUUAAGUCAGGGGUGAAAUCCCGGGGCUCAACCUCGGAAUUGCCUUUGAUACUGGGUGUCUUGAGUAUGAGAGAGGUGUGUGGAACUCCGAGUGUAGAGGUGAAAUUCGUAGAUAUUCGGAAGAACACCAGUGGUGAAGGCGACACACUGGCUCAUUACUGACGCUGAGGCUCGAAAGCGUGGGGAGCAAACAGG
rnacentral:rRNA from 1 species